ensembl:rRNA 5S_rRNA 5S ribosomal RNA
GUCUAUGGCAUGCCACCCUGAACUUGUCUGAUCUCGGAAGCCAAGCAGGGUCGGUCCUGGGUAGUGCUUGGAUGAAAAACCAGUCGCAGGUUGGUAUACUUCAAGUCAGUUGCUUUAGAUC